AGAGAUCAGAAUAACAAAUAAUGAAUUAAAGAGCAGCGGUAAACAACAAUAGCGAGGCUUUAUACAGGAGGUACCAGUACAGAGUCAAUGUGGAGGUUAUAUACAGGAGGUACCAGUACAGAGUCAAUGUGGAGGUUAUAUACAGGAGGUACCAGUACAGAGUCAAUGUGGAGGUUAUAUACAGGAGGUACCAGUACAGAGUCAAUGUGGAGGUUAUAUACAGGAGGUACCAGUACAGAGUCAAUGUGGAGGUUAUAUACAGGAGGUACCAGUACAGAGUCAAUGAGGAGGUUAUAUACAGGAGGUACCAGUACAGAGUCAAUGAGGAGGUUAUAUACAGGAGGUACCAGUACAGAGUCAAUGUGGAGGUUAUAUACAGGAGGUACCAGUACAGAGUCAAUGUGGAGGUUAUAUACAGGAGGUACCAGUACAGAGUCAAUGAGGAGGUUAUAUACAGGAGGUACCAGUACAGAGUCAAUGUGGAGGUACCAGUACAGAGUCAAUGUGGAGGCUAUAUACAGGAGGUACCAGUACAGAGUCAAUGUGGAGGUUAUAUACAGGAGGUACCAGUACAGAGUCAAUGUGGAGGCUUUAUACAGGAGGUACCAGUACAGAGUCAAUGUGGAGGCUUUAUACAGGAGGUACCAGUACAGAGUCAAUGUGGAGGCUAUAUACAGGAGGUACCAGUACAGAGUCAAUGUGGAGGUUAUAUACAGGAGGUACCAGUACAGAGUCAAUGUGGAGGCUAUAUACAGGAGGUACCAGUACAGAGUCAAUGUGGAGGCUAUAUACAGGAGGUACCAGUACAGAGUCAAUGUGGAGGUUAUAUACAGGAGGUACCAGUACAGAGUCAAUGUGGAGGCUUUAUACAGGAGGUACCAGUACAGAGUCAAUGUGGAGGCUUUAUACAGGAGGUACCAGUACAGAGUCAAUGUGGAGGCUUUAUACAGGAGGUACCAGUACAGAGUCAAUGUGGAGGCUUUAUACAGGAGGUACCAGUACAGAGUCAAUGUGGAGGCUUUAUACAGGAGGUACCAGUAGAGAGUCAAUGUGGAGGUUAUAUACAGGAGGUACCAGUACAGAGUCAAUGUGGAGGCUUUAUACAGGAGGUACCAGUACAGAGUCAAUGUGGAGGCUUUAUACAGGAGGUACCAGUACAGAGUCAAUGUGGAGGUUAUAUACAGGAGGUACCAGUACAGAGUCAAUGUGGAGGCUUUAUACAGGAGGUACCAGUACAGAGUCAAUGUGGAGGUUAUA